CACGCCCCGAGCCUGGUGCUAUUUAGCCGGUUCGAGCACGUCGAACACACCAAACGGAUAGAGCCUCCUCUGUCCGCCCAAGGCUCAACAACUAGUAUAAAUAGAGUACAAAUUUUGCACAUGCGGAAGCAUAUAUAAUGGCUUGCACGAGACAAGCAAUGGCCAAAGAGAAAGUACUAACUAAUCAACACACAAGUACUAUGAUUAAAUUUAAAUCAUAUACAUACACACAACUUGUACAUUUCCAUUCUUUUCUUUAUAUCAUUUCUUCUCUUUUACAUCACAUGAUAUCUCAAAACAUAACCUUUGCAUUGAAACAUAAAUCCUUUUACAUUAAACCAUA
rnacentral:lncRNA from 1 species